rnacentral:pre_miRNA from 1 species
UAUACACCGAUAAUGUAAAUAAGUUUUACACCAUCAUUCAAUCACAUCUCUCCAUUUUGUUAGCUCAUAAUUAAUUUUAAAUUUAAUAAUAUCUAAAAUAGAAAAUGGAAGUUUGUGAUUGAAUGAUGGUGUAAAACUUUUUACACCGUCGGUGCAUA